AUCUGAUCAAGACAAUCCACGCCGAAAGGCUUGAUAGGCGACAAGCCUAUCCGCGUUAUCUGCAGCGGCGCACACGCACACCGUUAACCCACACCGUACGGCAGACAACAGCCGGACGGCGCACAACAACCGCUCCCCGGGCGCCGGCGCAACCGGCGCGGUACACACCGCGUGCGCAAACCACCGCAUUGGCAUCAGUCGUCUCAACAACCAUUGUUCCGGAAAAUGCGAGAACGGCCGCAGCAAUAAGCAAGAAUGAGCGCAUGGCAGACUCCCGAAGCUGU
rnacentral:misc_RNA from 1 species